rnacentral:rRNA from 1 species
GAUGAACGCUGGCGGCGUGCCUAAUACAUGCAAGUCGGGCGAACGGAUAAGGAGCUUGCUCCUUUGAAGUUAGCGGCGGACGGGUGGGUAACACGUGGGUAACCUACCUAUAAGACUGGAAUAACUUCGGGAAACCGGAGCUAAUGCCGGAUAACAUUUGGAACCGCAUGGUUCUAAAAGUAAAAGAUGGUUUUGCUAUCACUUAUAGAUGGACCCGCGCCGUAUUAGCUAGUUGGUAAGGUAACGGCUUACCAAGGCAACGAUACGUAGCCGACCUGAGAGGGUGAUCGGCCACACUGAAGCUGAGACACGGUCCAG